rnacentral:tRNA from 1 species
UGCCGCCUGGUCCCAGGGCGGUCUCCAGGCUGCGGGUCUGGAUGGUUUCCUGGGUGGUGGUUCCGUCUUCGCCAGUUGGCGAC